CAGCGAAUAUUGCUGCGGUUUCCACGUGGCAACCGCAUCAAUAUAUUAAAAAAUAAUUUUUUUAUAUAUUGCUGCGGUUGCCACGUGGAAACCGCAGCAAUAUUCGCUG
rnacentral:pre_miRNA from 1 species